rnacentral:rRNA from 1 species
GACGAACGCUGGCGGCGUGCUUAACACAUGCAAGUCAAACGAAAAGAGGGAAAGAGCUUGCUCUUUCGAGAGUUGAGUGGCAAGCGGGUGAGUAACACGUAAACAACCUGCCUUCAGGAUGGGGACAACAGACGGAAACGACUGCUAAUACCGAAUAAGUUCCAAGGGCCGCAUGGCCCAUGGAAGAAAAGGUGGCCUCUACCUGUAAGCUAUCGCCUGAAGAGGGGUUUGCGUCUGAUUAGCUGGUUGGAGGGGUAACGGCCCACCAAGGCGACGAUCAGUAGCCGGUCUGAGAGGAUGAACGGCCACACUGGAACUGAGACACGGUCCAGACUCCUACGGGAGGCAGCAGUGGGGAAUCUUCCGCAAUGGGCGAAAGCCUGACGGAGCAACGCCGCGUGAGUGAUGACGGCCUUCGGGUUGUAAAACUCUGUGAUCCGGGACGAAAAGGCAGAGUGCGAAGAACAAACUGCAUUGACGGUACCGGAAAAGCAAGCCACGGCUAACUACGUGCCAGCAGCCGCGGUAAUACGUAGGUGGCAAGCGUUGUCCGGAAUUAUUGGGCGUAAAGCGCGCGCAGGCGGCUUCCCAAGUCCCUCUUAAAAGUGCGGGGCUUAACCCCGUGAUGGGAAGGAAACUGGGAAGCUGGAGUAUCGGAGAGGAAAGUGGAAUUCCUAGUGUAGCGGUGAAAUGCGUAGAGAUUAGGAAGAACACCGGUGGCGAAGGCGACUUUCUGGACGAAAACUGACGCUGAGGCGCGAAAGCGUGGGGAGCAAACAGGAUUAGAUACCCUGGUAGUCCACGCCGUA